rnacentral:rRNA from 1 species
UCCUGGCUCAGAACGAACGCUGGCGGCAUGCCUAACACAUGCAAGUCGAACGAGAUCUUCGGAUCUAGUGGCGCACGGGUGCGUAACGCGUGGGAAUCUGCCCUUUGCUUCGGAAUAACAGUUAGAAAUGACUGCUAAUACCGGAUGAUGUCUUCGGACCAAAGAUUUAUCGCCAAAGGAUUGGCCCGCGUUGGAUUAGGUAGUUGGUGGGGUAAUGGCCUACCAAGCCUACGAUCCAUAGCUGGUUUGAGAGGAUGAUCAGCAACACUGGGACUGAGACACGGCCCAGACUCCUACGGGAGGCAGCAGUGGGGAAUCUUAGACAAUGGGCGCAAGCCUGAUCUAGCCAUGCCGCGUGAGCGAUGAAGGCCUUAGGGUUGUAAAGCUCUUUCAGAUGGGAAGAUAAUGACGGUACCAUCAGAAGAAGCCCCGGCUAACUCCGUG